UGGGGAAUUGUUCGCAAUGGGCGCAAGCCUGACGACGCAACGCCGCGUGGAGGAUGAAGAUCUUCGGGUCGUAAACUCCUUUCGAUCGGGACGAAUGGCUGGGGGCCCAAUACGCCCUCAGAGUGACGGUACCGAGAGAAGAAGCCCCGGCUAACUCCGUGCCAGCAGCCGCGGUAAUACGGGGGGGGCAAGCGUUGUUCGGAAUUACUGGGCGUAAAGGGCGCGUAGGCGGCCUAUUAAGUCGGACGUGAAAUCCCUCGGCUCAACCGAGGAACUGCGUCCGAUACUGGCAGGCUUGAAUCCGGGAGAGGGAUGUGGAAUUCCAGGUGUAGCGGUGAAAUGCGUAGAUAUCUGGAGGAACACCGGUGGCGAAGGCGGCAUCCUGGACCGGUAUUGACGCUGAGGCGCGAAAGCUAGGGUAGCAAACGG
rnacentral:rRNA from 1 species